UACAGAGGGUGCGAGCGUUGUCCGGAAUCACUGGGCGUAAAGGGCGCGUAGGUGGUCUGGUAAGCGUGCGGUGAAAUCGCGGGGCUCAACCCCGCGCCGGCCGUGCGAACUGCUGGACUGGAGCACUGUAGAGGCGGGUGGAAUUCCGGGUGUAGCGGUGGAAUGCGUAGAGAUCCGGAAGAACACCGGUGGCGAAGGCGGCCCGCUGGGCAGUGGCUGACACUGAGGCGCGCCAGCGUGGGGAGCAAACAGG
rnacentral:rRNA from 1 species